UUUCAGUCUACAUAUCUGGACAUGAUAAACACCUAAGAAAUUUAGAACCGUGUAAUCUCUGUAUAAAUCAAGAGGUAUAAGUGUGAACAAGUGGUGUGCAAAGUCUGCCCAAGUACAUCCCAAUUCAGGACCAAAUUGUACCCCAUCCCCUCAUCCAGUCUCCCUCUUUGUAGCCAUUUUGCAUGAUCUUGGGUUGGCUUGUUAUUAUUUUGAA